rnacentral:rRNA from 1 species
ACGAACGCUGGCGGCGUGCUUAACACAUGCAAGUCGAACGGAAAGGCCCUGCUUUUGUGGGGUGCUCGAGUGGCGAACGGGUGAGUAACACGUGAGUAACCUGCCCUUGACUUUGGGAUAACUUCAGGAAACUGGGGCUAAUACCGGAUAGGAGCUCCUGCUGCAUGGUGGGGGUUGGAAAGUUUCGGCGGUUGGGGAUGGACUCGCGGCUUAUCAGCUUGUUGGUGGGGUAGUGGCUUACCAAGGCUUUGACGGGUAGCCGGCCUGAGAGGGUGACCGGGCACAGUGGGACUGAGAUACGGCCCAGACUCCUACGGGGGGCAGCAGUGGGGAAUAGUGCACAAUGGGCGGAAGCCGGAUGCAGCAACGCCGCGUGCGGGAUGACGGCCUUCGGGUUGUAAACCGCUUUCGCCUGUGACGAAGCGUGAGUGACGGUAAUGGGGAAAGGAGCACCGGCUAACUACGU